CAGAAGAGAACACCUGGCCCCCUCUGGGCUGAUGGGCAGAGGUUCCCUGGCCCAGGGCUCUGGGGACAGUGAUACCCAGGGUAAGUUAGAGUCCUUGUAUUGUCACAGACCAGACUUUUCACAUCCCUUCCAUACAUCCCACUCCCAAGCUCAGUUCCCAGGCUCUGCAGUGCUGUGUUCACCGCGGGCAUAAACACGCCUUCAGAAUGGGGCAGGAGAGGUGGGGACCUCCCUGAACCCAGCUCCAGGCCCUCUUCUGCAUUUCAAAUCUGCCGACUUGCCCUCUGGGUAGGUCCUCUAAUCUCCAUGUUUAUCCAUCCCAGGGUAGCCAUUGUCAGGCCCUGAGCUGGAUUCUGAGGCUCGUGAACAAAUAUGGUCCCUGAUGUCUGAGAGGAAAUCAUUUCUCUACAAAGUUGUGGGCACCCAGGUAAAGAAAUAAACCACACACAAAAUAAACGUGUGCUGGAGAGGCAACCAAAAGGAAGAAUCAAAGGCCAUGUGCCCCACUGAUCACUGAGCUCACCUCCUCUUGGGAACCAUGGAAAGGAAAGGGGAGCAUGAGUUCUGGAAGCCUCAGCCUCUGUGAGAGGUGCAGGACUUUCCUGUCAUGAGCUUCACUUUGUUGAAACUGGACAGAACAGCUCAGGAUGCCAACAUGCCAGGACAGAGGUCAGUCUGCUAAACGGUCGCACCCUCCUUGUCUCAGACUGCUGGGGCAGAAGCAGGGCACUAGAAACCUGUUGCGACUAUCUACCUGAACUGGCUUCCUGCUCAUACAUACUGUUAGGAAGUGAGCCUGAAUUGCAGGCACCUCCUGCUCACCACGUCCUCAGUAUCACCUGGCCCAACUGCUGUCAGUGCAGGUAUGCACAUGUAUCUACGUGUGGAGAUAAGAUGUGAGUGGAUUCACACAUUGUUGGAUAUGUGUGUAUGUGUGUACAAAUGGGGCUAUAACACGUGUGUAUGUUUGUGGGCAGCUGUGUGAAUUUGUGUCUAUGCACGUGGGCAAGGGGCUGUGGGUUGGUACACUCAGGUGGAUUAGAUAAAGGCAAAGAUAUGGACGUGCACAUGAGCCUGAGUUAGAGUGUUGGCAGACUGAGUUAGACACAUGCAUGCCCAGGCUAACAGCUGACUCGAGAGUUGUCGCUUAUCAAUAGCUGGAGCAGCUGCCAUAAGUCCACCAGAGGAAGAGCUGUCAGAAGCUGACUUUAAGGUGACACUGUGUCGUACUGCACUGCAGGUACCAUGGCAGGGAGGCCCCAGGAGACAGGGAGCUCACCACCCUUCAGGGGUGACGCGCGUUUGGAGGAUGGGGUGACUGGUGGGCCUGAGGCUGCCCAGGCUCUGUAGGUAAGGGCCAAGUCUCAUGUCUCAUGGCAGAUGAGCCCUUCCGAGCCUUGACAAACCAAGACCCUCCACACAGCAAAGUCAAGAUCAGGGUCCAUGGUGCGAAACACCAUAAAGAACUGCUGUUUCCCCAGGUCCUUAGGAGAUUUUUGAGGACAGGGUUGUAUCUAGGGUGACUGCUAAAUACCAGGUUACCCAAGGCUUUGCUGGUUUUAGC
rnacentral:lncRNA from 13 species